GACGAACGCUGGCGGCGUGCUUAACACAUGCAAGUCGAGCGGUAAGGCCCUUCGGGGUACGACGAGCGGCGAACGGGUGAGUAACACGUGGGUGACCUGCCCUCAGCUCUGGGAGUAAGCCCUGGGAAACGUAGGGUCGUAAUAACUGGAUAUGACUCCACGGUGCAUGUCGUGGGGUGGAAAGCCUUGUGCGGCUGAGGAUGGGCCCGCGGCCUAUCAGCUUGUUGGUGGGGUGAUGGCCUACCAAGGCGACGACGGGUAGCCGGCCUGAGAGGGCGACCGG
rnacentral:rRNA from 1 species